AGGCCAAAUAGGCCUUGGGUAGGGGAGGCUGUCCCAGUCCCCACGUGCCUGUGUACCUCCUUUGGUGCUUUGGAGUCAGGGCCCAAGAAAGGAGAAGCCCACAGCACCUCAGCUCUGGCUGGUCUUGGGCUGGGCCCAGCGCCUGUCUGUCACCAUCCUAUUGGGAGGCACCAAGGCGCCCUGUGACCGGAUGCUGGGUUCCCGAGCUCCGAGUGGGAACUUUAGAGAGCAUCAUCUCCUCGCUGAUGCCUACAAGAACAGAUAUGAGAGUGGUACCUACCUCGUGUGAUGUCUGCGGAUUCCCAGAGACACUGCAUGUAAAGUGAAGAGCCCGGGAUAAGGUGGUGGCAGCUGCAGGGAAAGUGACCCUCUCCACCCUACCGGGCCCACCUUCCCCAGGGUGACUCCAAGGCCCAGGCUGAAAGGAUGAGCCGUACCUAGUGGUCCCGUGUCUGAGAGGCCUGGGAGACCUGAGUGUGACCAUUUGGCUUUCCCUGCGCUCUACACUCUGCCACUGGGACGCACAGUCACAUGUAAGCCUGUAGAGCCUGUGGGGGCUCGAUAAAUGUUGGUGGCUCCUUUCACACGUGUGCACGCAGGGAGCUGGCAGAGGGCCACCUGCACUCGAGCUGCCAUUAACCACGAACACCAGCCCCUCCCCCCAGCACUCGCCUCCUCAAGUGGGGAAGAGGAUCUCCAGCUGGGAGUAUCUGCUUGACAGAUGAGGCUGUUCUGAGCGUGUGUCUGCCUGUGUGUCCGUCUCCAGGGAGCCUCAAUCCACACACAGGGACAUGUGUCUCCCCAGGUUCGGUGUGCCUGUGUGUAUGUGCAGGAGUGUGUGUCCAGCAGGCCCACAUGCACGUGUGCGCGCCUGUGCUCCUGUUCGCGACCCACCUCCUCCCC
ensembl:lncRNA